rnacentral:misc_RNA from 1 species
AAGGAAUGGAAUGGAAUGGAAUGGGUUGGAAUGGAAAGGAAUCGAAACGAAUGGAAUGGAAUCGAAUUGAAGAGAUUGGAAUGGAAUGUAUUGGAAUGGAAGGGAGUGUAAUGGAAGGUUUUCGAAAAAAAUGGAAUCGAAUGGAAUGGAAUUGAAUGGAACGGAAUAGAGUUGAAUGGAAUUGAAUGGAAUGGAAUGGAUUAGAGUGAAAUGGAAUCGAAUUAUAAGGAAUGGAUAGGAAUAGAAUGGUUUCGAAUUGAAUGGAAUCGUAUGGAAUGGUAUUAAACGGAAUGGAAUGGAUAGUUAUGGAAUGGAAUGUAUUUGAAUGUAAUGGAGUUGAAAUUAAUGGAUUGGAAUAGAAU